GAAUUCACUAGUGAUUAGGCCUAACACAUGCAAGUCGAGCGAACCCUUCGGGGUGAGCGGCGGACGGGUGAGUAACGCGUGGGUAACCUGCCCUGUACACACGGAUAACAUACCGAAAGGUAUGCUAAUACGAGAUAAUAUAUUUUAAUCGCAUGGUUAAGAUAUCAAAGCUCCGGCGGUACAGGAUGGACCCGCGUCUGAUUAGCUAGUUGGUGAGGUAAUGGCUCACCAAGGCGACGAUCAGUAGCCGACCUGAGAGGGUGAUCGGCCACACUGGAACUGAGACACGGUCCAGACUCCUACGGGAGGCAGCAGUGGGGAAUAUUGCACAAUGGGCGAAAGCCUGAUGCAGCAACGCCGCGUGAGCGAAAAGGGCCUUCGGGUCGUAAAGCUCUGUCCUCAAGGAAGAUAAUGAC
rnacentral:rRNA from 1 species